CUGGAAGAACCAGAACACAGAGCGAGCCUAGGGCUCUCACCAGGUGGCCACAGGAAAAGACAUGAAUCCCAAGUGUUGUGAUCAGACCGGUCCUUAUCUCCUGGAGCCUGAAAACCGGCCUCGGACACACACAGGAACUGGCCCGGUAGCCCUCAAGCAGCAGAACCCGUCUGUAUAUCCGUUUCCUGUUUAGUAGCCGUUGGCCAUGAUCUCUGCUCACCCUAGUGCUGACAGGAGCUAUUCACGAUGCUUUAAACUAUUUUAAGCUGGGCAUGAUGGCGCACACCUUUAACCUCAGCGCUCAGAAUGCAGAGGCAGGUGGAUCUCUGUGAAUUUGAGUCUAGCCUGAUCUACAUAGAGAGUUGCAGGGCAGCCAGGGCUACAUAGAGAGACCCUGUAUAGAAACAACAAAGAUAAAAAUGUGGGUUUGCUUUCAUGU
rnacentral:lncRNA from 1 species